CAAAAACGCAAAAAACAAGUUAUAAAACUGUGUAGUAUGGACCCGUUCUGUGAAAGCAUGUACCUAGAAAAAAAAAAGUUCUUCAAAAUAUUACUAGUAAUAUUAAUAGUUGCAGGACCUUGAAUGAUUUUUAUCUCUUUGUUACUUUAAGUAUGUUUUAAAUCUACGAUAAAUGUGUAUUAUUCACUGCACCUUAAAAACAAUUAUUUAAAAAGUAGUCAGUGCCCAGAGCAAACUUCAAGUACUUGAAAACAGGAAUAUUGUGAAAUCUUAUGAUUUAAAAAAGAAUAGAGAAAUGGUUUAGUUUUGUUUUCUCUUAUGCAACAGCACUCUUUCUAGCUCUUUAACAAGCCUGAUUUUCAGUUUAUCACUUCUUCGAAUUAUGCAAAACCAGGUGGAGUAGACAGUGUCUGGCACUGGUUUUACUAUUUCAUUCAAAAACCUGACGCCAAAAAAAGAAAAAGAAAACCAUAAAAGCCUGACUACAGCAGACCAACGCCCCCAAAGCUGCAAAGAACUUACUUUCUCUUGGUUGCGUAAUUUGACCCUCCCAGGACUUACCUGUUGAUUUAUAUGUUGGAAUAUUUCUUAAGGAAAUGGCAACCCACUCCAGUGUUCCAGUGUUCUUGCCUGGAGAGUUCCAGGGACGGCAGAGCCUGGUGGGCUGCUGUCUAUGGGGUCGCGCGGAGUCGGACACGACUGAAGCAACUUAGCAGCAGCAGCAGCACGAGGCACCAACCUUGAGGGAUUGCGGACAGAAGACAGGGAGGUGUUCAGACAGCCCCUGGCUCACACCCCCUUCCUAGUGAUGUCCACUUCGUGGCUUCACCACCUCCACCUCUGCUACUACUGGUGAAAAAGCUUGCAAGGCCCGUCAGCUGAACCCCGGGAGACCCAGCCUGCUUCCAGGACACCGGACACCAACAAACCAAAGCAGACUGAUCACUGAAGCUGAGUGUAAAACUUAUUCUCAUCCCAGGGUUCAGAAAGAAAAAUAAGCUUCAUACCACAGACUUCUCAGGUCUUUCCAAGAACUGAAGGUUUUGCUUUUUCUCUCACUACAGAACAAUCAGUUCCAAAGCCUAGCAAAGGGCUUCCAUGAUGGGGUUUUGCUGUAAUAAAACUGGGCCCCACCUUUAGCCUUACAUCUGUGUUUACAGCAACCACAGAAGGCAGCCAUCCUAUUCAAUUUAGUUAUAUACGCACAUAACGCAGACAUUGGGAAGUAUAUGCAAAACAAAUGAAAUAGUCUCAUCAUUAUCAGAGUACAAAAAAAGUUACACUGAAUUUCUUCUCUCAGUAACUAACAGGAAGCAAUAAAAAGAGAGGAAACAUAAAACAUUUUGCUGUGGUAUUAUCCUCAUAAUUAAAUAAAAUUUAUUAACUUAAGC
ensembl:lncRNA